CUUUCCUUCCAAUAGCCCCAACACGAUCUUGAAGGAUCCACGUCUCAAAAGAGUCAAGUGGAUAUUUAUGCUGCAGUCUGACCGAUGCAUAAUCCUGCAACGUGCUUCCAUGAGAAGAUCGUAUCGUUCCUGCCCUAAUUCUGCUUCCCUGGGUAUCGAGGACAUCAUUAUCCUAUGCCUCCUACCUUUUGUAUUUUUUCGUGACUGAUUUAUUCCUGAUAACUUUCUCUUUGUACGGCUUUCCAUACAGAUCACAGGGGAACGAGGUUCUGGAGUAUUCUGGAGAAAUGUCUUGUUUUUUUACCAUCAGUUCGCUAGAAUGGAGUUGGCUCCAGAUAUAACACUGUCAUUAUUAAUUCCAUAAAAAGGAGAAUUACAGGAGGUCAGUUACCAUUCCCUGUUCUUUAAGGAGGAAUUUCCUCUACUCAGGAUGUCUAAUAUAAUGUUUACUUAUCCAUACAUUUAACAUGUAUGUGUAUGUGAUGUCUGGACAAAUGUAAAUGUACCAAUCCACACCUCUGUUUUAACCUUUAUCCUGGUACUGAGCGGCUCCAUAUUGGCUCCCUGUCAGUCCUUGUUAUGAAUUCUGUCCUGUUCUGCUAUUGAACAUAGUUUGUGUAGGAGGAGAAACGGAACCAAUGUUUCUUUUUUCCCUCCUCCGAUGCAAUGUGUGCCUUGACUGUGCCAGGACUGAACUGGGUUGUGAUAUGAAUUGCUGAAUCUUUAAUAAACAUUUCAAAUAUAA